UUGCAAAAUUCAUGAAAUGAAUAAGUAUUUAAUUAUAUAAGUAAAACUAAAAUACAAAAUUUAAUAACAAGCAUAAAUACAUUAAAUAAAGGCAUUAAAUCCAUCAUUCUUAGAUAUCAUUAGCAUUAACUAAUUUAAGACUAAAAUGACUAUAUAGAUAGUAAAGAACUAAUAUUUAGCUAAUAUUAAUGGAGCCUAAAAUUUUAUUUAAUGUUAUUUCUAAUUAGUUAUGAAUUUUACUAAAAUUAAUUCUGUGAAUAGUAAAAAAAUUAGAAAACAAAAACAAUGACCUAUAGAUCGGGCGAACUAAUGCCUCAUUCUAUAUAUUUAAGCAGCCUCCCGCCGCCCCUAGAGUCAAACAUAAUUGUAUUCAACAAAUAAGCCAAAAACAAUAAAACAAAAAGUAAAUAAUUCUCUAUUCAAGAUAUGGACGUGUAGACCUAGAAAGAUAGUUGAUGAUUUUAGUUCACUAGUUGAUGAUCUUAGCUCAAGAGACAAUAAGCGAAAGAUUUGUGGGAAAAUAGAAAAUUUUAUAUGAAAAGUUGAGAGAGAGUGAGACAUA
rnacentral:misc_RNA from 1 species